GGCUGGGUAGCUCAGCUGGUUAGAGCGCGGGAUUCAUAACCCCGAGGUCGAGUGUUCAAGUCCCUCUCCAGCCACCA
rnacentral:tRNA from 1 species